CUUAACCGCGGACGUGCCUUUGAAACUGCUGCUCUUGAGUCCCGGAGAGGUUGCCGGAAUUCGUGGUGUAGCGGUGAAAUGCGUAGAUAUCACGAGGAACACCAGAGGCGAAAGCGGGCAACUGGACGGGUACUGACACUGAGGCACGAAAGCGUGGGGAGCAAACAGGAUUAGAUACCCUGGUAGUCCGCGCCGUAAACGAUGAAUGCUCGCCGUUGCCUCGUUAGGGGGCAGUGGCUAAGCUAACGCGUUAAGCAUUCCGCCUGGGGAGUACGAUCGCAAGGUUGAAACUCAGAGGAAUUGACGGGGGCCCGCACAAGCGGUGGAGCAUGUGGCUUAAUUCGAUGCAACGCGAAGAACCUUACCUAGGCUCGAACGCUAGGCGACCGCUCCUGAAAGGGAGCUUUCCGCAAGGACGC
rnacentral:rRNA from 1 species